AGAAUCAACGCUGGCGGCGUGCCUAACACAUGCAAGUCGCACGAGAAAGGGGAGCAAUCCCUGAGUACAGUGGCGCACGGGUGAGUAACACGUGAAUAAUCUACCUCCGAGUGGGGAAUAACUGAGAGAAAUCUUAGCUAAUACCGCAUAACACUUACGAGUCAAAGCAGCAAUGCGCUUGGAGAGGAGUUCGCGGCCGAUUAGUUAGUUGGCGGGUAAUGGCCCACAAGACGAUGAUCGGUA
rnacentral:rRNA from 1 species